ACUUACAGCCAUACCACCCUGAUCUCCCUGAGCUCAGAGGCUCAGCAGAGUCAGGCCUGGCAGGCCUUUGGGAGGCUGCCGGGGAACAGCAGGUCCUGUUGGCU
ensembl:rRNA 5S_rRNA 5S ribosomal RNA